AGAGUUUGAUCAUGGCUCAGAAUCAACGCUGGCGGCGUGCCUCAGACAUGCAAGUCGAACGAGAAACUUCCUUCGGGAAGUGGAAAGUGGCGCACGGGUGAGUAACACGUGGGUAAUUUACCUUCGGGUGGGGAAUAGCCAGGGGAAACCCUGAUUAAUACCGCAUAAUACGGCAACGUUAAAGCAGCAAUGCGCCUGAAGAGAAGCCCGCGGCAGAUUAGCUAGUUGGUAAGGUAAUGGCUUACCAAGGCAACGAUCUGUAUCCGGCCUGAGAGGGCGGUCGGACACACUGACACUGAAUAACGGGUCAGACUCCUACGGGAGGCAGCAGUCGGGAAUUUUGGGCAAUGGGCGAAAGCCUGACCCAGCAACGCCGCGUGAAGGAUGAAGUCUUUCGGGAUGUAAACUUCGGAAGUAUGGGAAGAAUAAAUGACGGUACCAUAUCUAAGCCCCGGCUAACUCUGUGCCAGCAGCCGCGGUAAUUC
rnacentral:rRNA from 1 species